rnacentral:rRNA from 1 species
UGGGGAAUCUUGCGCAAUGGGCGAAAGCCUGACGCAGCGACGCCGCGUGAGUGAUGAAGGCCUUCGGGUUGUAAAGCUCUGUGGGGAGAGAAGAAUAAGUGCGGGCUAAUACUCCGCAUGAUGACGGUAUCUCCUUAGCAAGCACCGGCUAACUCUGUGCCAGCAGCCGCGGUAAGACAGGGGGUGCAAACGUUGUUCGGAAUUACUGGGCGUAAAGCGAGUGUAGGCGGUUUGGUAAGUCGGAUGUGAAAGCCCCGGGCUCAACCCGGGAAGUGCACUCGAUACUGCCAAGCUAGAGUAUCGGAGAGGUUGGUGGAAUUCUCGGGUGUAGAGGUGAAAUUCGUAGAUAUCGAGAGGAACACCGGUGGCGAAGGCGGCCAACUGGACGAAUACUGACGCUGAGACUCGAAAGCGUGGGGAGCAAACAGGAUUAGAUACCCCCGUAGUCCCUGAGCGGGCUGGCAAGGCGCAU